UAAGUUAAAGUUUAAAUAAUUUGGUGACUGGCUGCAGCUGAAGUCUCAGAUGAGCCGAAAGGGAUCGCUGUAGGCGCUGCUAAAGAGUGUAUGCACACACUCUGUCACGUGCUUCUUACGCUCUGAAACCCCUCCAGAGAGCAAAGAGUGAUGACGGCGUUACACAGUGCGAGCACACUCAGACUUUAGACAGGAGAGUCACAGAAAGGAGAGGAGAAAAGGGAGAGAGAAGGAUGGACGCAGGAAGCGGCCUCUACAUGACAGGCUGAUGAGAUGAAACUGAUAUGAUAGACCUGCUCAGAGAGUCCGCUUCAAAUCGGAACUUUCUCUAAGAGUUUUUGAAAGUCUCUUUUUUUUUUUUUUUUUCCAAAUAUUUGUCAUGUAAAAUGCAACUUAAUUAGUAAAAUGGGAGCAUGUUUCUUUAUUAGAAGCUCUUUUUUUAGUGAACAAAUCUUUUUUAUUUUAUUUUAUCGUAUUUAGUAAGAUGUGUGUUGUAAGAGUUAGAGAGUGUGUGUCAUGUUGUCUUGAUGCGUUUUGUUUCAGAGUCGGCUCCCUGAAGUCAGAGCCAUGAUUUGAAGAUCCCAGCGCCUUUAAAAGGAGCGGGGUUACAGCAGCUGCCACCGCCUCUCAGCGCCGUGCAGAUAAAGGAGGAGAUCCAUGAUGUGGACGUCUUCUCAAGUCACCAAGCAAUGAACACACACUCCUUCAGGCUCCAAACACACCACAAACACACUUCAUUUUCAUUUACUUGACUUAAUUGUCAGUAAUUGCCUCCUUCCUCAUUUUUGUGAAUGCCUUUUAUGAAUGACCACUUUGUAAUUAUCAAAUCAGUUUGUGUUGUGAAACAGAAGAACAAAAACAAACAAACAAAUGAUCUGGAACCCGAUGAGCUGAUAUGAGUUUUAAGGGCAACAAGUUUGUUUUCUCUGUACUUCUUCAGUGACUUAAAUGAAGAUGCAUGGUGUGAGAGUGAGUGUGUGUUUCCUCUUGAUGGGGUUUCUGUACCCGUGCACAUCUCACCCUCACUGCCCACAAUCCCCCCGCCAAGCUGAAUGGCAGACCUCUGGAUUGGCUAAGUGAUGAAAUGAUGACCCCAUUAUGAGAAGUGAUUCCAAAAUGAGAGGUAUCAGACAAAGACUGCACACCCCUCUCUGUCUCCCUCUCUCUCUGUUUAGCUGCAGCACCGUCCUCCAGCAGCAGCCUGCCAGCUGAGCAGAUGAUGAUUGAUUUGCCUGAGAAGGAUCACAGGAAGCAACCAUUGAUUUCUUUUUUUUUCUUCUUCUUCUUUUUCUUCUUUUGGUGUUUUAUUAGAAAUAUUUAUUUACCCCUGUAUCUGUGGGGCGUAUCAAGAUUCACUUCGUAUGGCAGAAGCUAUAAGUGGGAUAAUUCACACUUCUUCAUCUGAAGAUGGACGACCUGAAGUUCUGUAUUCCUUCAGAAAUGAGUCAAUAGACUCACCAAGUAAAUGAAUAUUGAUUGAAUAAUGCCGGAGUGUGAAUAUGAGCUCUUGCAGUGACCCUUCCUUCAGACUUAACUACAGGCAUCCUUAGUGAUGCCAAAACUUUACAACAACGUAUCUUAUGAAGGGACAGCUAAAAAAAAUCUUUAAUAGUACAUUUAUUUCAGAAAUACAUUUUAAAAAGUGAGUAUUAUAUUAUUAAUAUUCAUUGUUAUUCAUUGGAUAUGUUCCAGGCAGUUAAUUCUGUUAAUUUUGAUAAUUAUAGCUUGCACCUAAAUAAAAACCUAAAAUUAAAUUUCUCCAAAAAUUCAUAUUGGAAAUACCAAUUAAAUGUAAUUAAUGUAUUUUUGUUUCUUCACAGUUCUCUCAAGGCAGAGCUUGAGACAGACUUUCUUCUGUCACACUUUUUCCUUCCACUGAACUUUUCAAUAAUAUGUUUGGAUACAGCUAAUAGUGAAGAAUGACCCUCUUUAGAAAUGGCUUGAUGUAGAUCACCUGUUUGCUGUCAGUGCUUAUCUGCUACAUAUGUAUGUUAAAUUAGCUGAAGUCCUUUUGUGGGCCAUACCAUACCUAUAAAAUAAUAUUUCUGUAUUCAUUUUUUUUUGCUUGUUGUGUAAUAAUAUAAUUGUCUGCAAGACUAAAUUUUGGGUUUUAGCUGUAAGCUGUAAUCACCAACAUGACCAGAAUUGAUUCAAAUGUAUUAAUUUGUGUUUUUUUUAUCUAUAUAAUUACUGUUUACUUUUUUAAAAUUGAAUUACUGAGAUAAAUAACUUUCUAAAAAAAGUUUUAUAUACGAACUUCGAGACACACCUGUACACUACAGCUGGAAACCAAAGAAGAAGAAAAACAUGAACAGUUAUUCCCCCGUCUCUCUGGUAGUACUUGUUUGUUUCGGCUUAAUUGAUCCAACCAGAAGUACAGUUUGUUUUGAAGAUGCCAUCAGGUAAUAAUUCCAUUCUACCUUAAAGCUCAUGAGAUGCGCAGGAAGGAGGAAAGUGUGUUGCUUCACAAAACGUAAGGCGAUACAAUGUGCAAAUCCAAUGAGUGCCAAAACACUGAAACCACAGUGUGGGAGCAGUGUCCCAGAUAUUUGCUCUGACUUAAUCCAAUUGAAAUAGUAUGAGUGAGUUGCAGGGGCUCCCAGGUCUGUUUCUUGCUUAUGUAUGUGAUGCAUAAUAGAAGUUGACGAGGUUGGUGAUAGAUCACAGCCCAGGUAAUGUAAACACAUUAAUCCCUCAGGGUUCAUGUGCAUGUUCUUUCUCUUGUUUGCUCUCUUCUAUCUGCCUCUCCUUAUACCGACGCCCCCCCCCCACCCACCCCUCUGCAGACCCACCUCAACUCCAACCCACCUACCUCAGCCCUACCUCCACCUCCACUACCCCUCCCCUCCGCAGCCCCACCAACUCCCCAGUGUUCAUCAUCUUCCCUAAAUGCGUUAGUGGAGCACAAACCAGAAGCAGCCUUAAUCUGUCAACAUGCCCUUUAAUUGGAAGGAGAAAACAACACGUGCUCCUGGUUGUGCCAUUCCUAAGUGCACAUGCCAAAGAAAUACAGCAGUCACGGAAGAAGUGAUCCCGGGAGAGUGGGGCAUAAUUAAAAGUAUCUUUUAAUAGGCUUGUAAUGCUGAGCCUGACUCUUGUUGCCCUAAGUAGAGUGCAAAAAUCUGUGGCUGGAGACGGACAUGCGAAGGGGGCUUCUCGAAGGGAGCCUGUAAACGAUACACUGCCUCCACCGUCAUCAGACAUGCUGUCUCCACCUGAGUCACCGCGCUGAGGACAACAGCCACUUUCAGCCCCUGCUGCGGACACGUCGGCUCACCAGCUAACCGUGUUCCUUUGUUCUCCGAAUGAGAGAUUCUCCUCCACAACACAUCAGCUCUCCGGCUCCCCGUCCCCCGUGUCGCUUUGCCAACUUCUGCUCUACCUCCAACUCACAACACCAGUGGGGAGUGAGAACUGGGAUUAAGGGGUUGAUUUUGGGCCUGCUACACUGUAAUCAAAUGAGACUGCUUAGGGGAGAGGAGGAGAAGGAGGAGGUGGAGUAUUAUGUUCUGUAACGCAUUCCACUGCAGCUGUUUUUUGUUUUUUUUUGUUUUGUUUUGUUUUUGUCAGGGCAGACUUUGAUGCCGUAUCCCCUUACCUUUGUAGUCCCGGUAGCCAUGUUUCAUAAACACAGAAUAGGAAACAUCCUCGGCGUUAGAAAUGUAGAUUGCCGCUUUCCUCUCCGCCACUCUGCAUUCCGCACGUGCCCGGUCGCAUUCUCCGUCUCCCAGCACCGGGGUAUUAAGUUUCGUCUCCCUUGCCUCUGAUACAUUUAAACAUCUCACAAUCAGCCCCAGUGAUUUAGAGUGUCAUGUAUAAUCUGUGGCAACAACAAUGCCAGCUUCGCUUCAUAUCCUUGUAAGUGCCGUAUUUUUAUUUUAUUUUAUUUUUUUUUCACUUUUUUUAUUUUCCAUUUCAGGACAGCUGUACUUGCUAAAACACUUAAUUCAUUGAAGCCGAGAAGCUAGCGUUAGAGCAAUUUCGAAUUUGUCUUCACGAUUGAGGAUAUUAUAUUAAUACCGAGCUCCUCAUUCUGUAGAGUACCCUCUUGCUUUGUAUUAUCACACAGGGAAUUGUCUGGUCUCACUUCUCUUUGUAGUUAACUGAAACCCUCCAUGGGAUUGAGUGUAAUUGUAUUUCUAAAUCUAACUCAUUAAAAGCCAAACUCUUCA